rnacentral:rRNA from 1 species
GACGAACGCUGGCGGCGUGCUUAACACAUGCCAGUCGAACGGAAAGGCCCUGCUUUUGUGGUGUGCUCGAGUGGCGAACGGGUGAGUAACACGUGAGUAACCUGCCCUUGACUUUGGGAUAACUUCAGGAAACUGGGGCUAAUACCGGAUAUGAGCUCCUGCUGCAUGGUGGGGGUUGGAAAGUUUCGGCGGUUGGGGAUGGACUCGCGGCUUAUCCGCUUGUUGGUGGGGUAGUGGCUUACCAAGGCUUUGACGGGUAGCCGGCCUGUGAGGGUGACCGGCGACAUUGGGACUGAGGUACGGCCCAGACUCCUACGGGAGGCAGCAGUGGGGAAUAUUGCACAAUGGGCGGAAGCCUGAUGCAGCAACGCCGCGUGCGGGAUGACGGCCUUCGGGUUGUAAACCGCUUUCGCCUGUGACGAAGCGUGAGUGACGGUAAUGGGUAAAGAAGCACCGGCUAACUACGUG